GAGGACCUGGGAGUGACAGAUCCAGGACUCAAACGAGGCAGUAUGGUUCUUAGUGACCCCUUAACCACCGAUCUCUACUGCUGCCGGUGCUGGGUGCUGACUUUACAGAUGGAGUUUCCGCUGGUCUCACAGAGGUUGCAUUCUAGUCGGGGACACAGAGGAGAGCAAAGCAAGCAAACAAACAAGUACCAGCUGCAAUAGGGAUGUGUACGAAAAGAUCAAGAAAGAAAUAUUCAGUCAUUUCGAUAGAAACAGGGACUAAAACGGAGUCGCCAGUGGGAUACUAAACGGAAGAGCCCCUAGUGUAGGUUUCCCAACCAUGCAGGCCAUCGACUGCUUCCCUGCACCCCCAACGCACCUGCUCUUGGUCAUCUGGGAACAACACGCCCGCCUCCUGUGUGCUUACCACGCCCCUACCCAUACCUCAGCCGUUCUUCUGUUUAACGUGCUGGACAUGCAAUGACCACGAGAGAGGCCGUCGGGAGGUAAAGCUAUGGAUAAGUCUCACCCUGGAUCAUUAAUAUACAUCCACAGAAAUUAGUUUAAAUAGCAUCCCAUCGUCUUACCUUCCUCCCGGAUAACUGGCUUCUUGCCCAGCACUAAACACAGCAGGCCCAGAGCAACACCAGAAGUCCCACCAUAAGCUUCUGGAAUCAGCUGACAGCCAGAGCGUCCGCUGGGAAGUCGCACCUCCGC